rnacentral:rRNA from 1 species
CAACGGGUGAGUAACACGUGGGCAACCUGCCCAAAANAGGGGGAUACACUUGGAAACAGGUGCUAAUACCGCAUAACCAUAGUUACCGCAUGGUAACUAUGUAAAAGGUGGCUAUGCUACCGCUUUUGGAUGGGCCCGCGGCGCAUUAGCUAGUUGGUGGGGUAAAGGCUUACCAAGGCAAUGAUGCGUAGCCGAACUGAGAGGUUGAUCGGCCACAUUGGGACUGAGACACGGCCAAACUCCUACGGAAGGCAGCAG